rnacentral:rRNA from 1 species
AACGGAGGGUGCAAGCGUUGUUCGGAAUUACUGGGCGUAAAGCGCGUGCAGGCGGUCUUUUAAGUUUCGUGUGAAAUCCCACAGCUCAACUGUGGAACGGCGCGGAAAACUGGAAGACUUGAGUACGGGAUAAGAGGGCGGAAUUCCCAGUGUAGAGGUGAAAUUCGUAGAUAUUGGGAAGAACACCGGUGGCGAAGGCGGCUCUCUGGACCGAUACUGACACUCAUACGCGAAAGCGUGGGUAGCAAACAGG